rfam:Ciona savignyi cont_37933, whole genome shotgun sequence.
GCUUAUCACCAUUCCAGAUUGAAUAGACCCGAUCUCGUCUGAUCUCGGAAGUCAAGCAAUCUCGGGCUUGGUUAGUACUUGGAUGGGUGACCGCUUGGGAAUAUCAAGUGUGAUAAGCA